CUAAAAACGCGUUGUCUUUUUGCAGCCCAUUGUUUCUAUUUCUCUGGUUUCUUUCGAUCCUUCAUCUUUUUGUACUAUCUAUAGGCAGAAAGGGGCAUUUCAUUUCAUUUCUUGGAAGAAAUGGAUCUAACCCAGAAGGAAUUUCCACUCCUCUCCUUUCUCCUGUUCCAUCUUGAUCCCAAUUCUCACUCACCGCUCCCACAAGAACUUGAACAAAGUUUGAGAACCCAAUUUCCCCAUCUGAACAACCCAAAAGUUCUCUCCUCGCUGACCCAAGCCAUCCCCACCUCUUUCUUCCAGACCCAAUUCCUCCUCAAAGCGUUGGGUCCCCGACCUGACCCGGAUGCUGUGUCCACGGCACGAAUCAAGAUGACCCAGGUCCAGGAAUCGGGUGAGAUGGACAAGGAGGUGGAGAUAUACAAGGCGGUGGUGAGAAUGGAGGAGAUGCACGAGGAGUAUGCGAGGCAGUUGAGGGAAGCUGAGGAUAGGCUUGUUGGGAUUUAUAGGAAUGCUGUGGGCGAAUUUGAGAAUGAUGAAGUGAAUGGGGAGGUUGUUGCGAUACUGAAAGCAGCAGAGAGUGGUAGUGUUGUGGAAAACGUGGAUCUUUCUGGGCGGCAAUUGAGGCUAUUUCCUGAGGCUUUUGGUAGGCUUCAUGGGUUGCUUCUGCUCAAUCUCUCUCACAAUCAGCUAGAGGUCAUUCCUGAUUCAAUCGCGGGACUUGUGAAACUUGAGGAGCUUGAUGUUUCUUCCAACCUUCUUGUCUCACUGCCUGACUCUAUUGGAUUGUUGCGAAAUCUUAAGGUCCUAAAUGUGUCAGGAAACAAGUUGAAUGCUCUCCCUGAAAGUGUUGCUCUUUGCAGUUCUUUGGUGGACUUAGAUGCUAGUUUUAACAACUUGAUGUCUUUACCAACAAAUAUUGGGUAUGGGCUGGUGAAUCUUGAAAGGCUUUCAAUCCAGCUGAAUAAGAUCCGUUUUCUUCCACCAUCUAUUUGUGAAAUGAAGUCUUUGAGAUACUUGGAUGUUCAUUUCAAUGAGCUUUGUGGCCUGCCACUUGCAAUUGGGAGAUUAACAAAUCUUGAGGUCCUGAACUUAAGCAG
rnacentral:misc_RNA from 1 species